UCCUCCAUACGGCGAAGGCGGGCGCUACGUGGUUGCCUUGCACGAGCUUCGUCCGGCGCUAAACUGGUCUCCACGGGAUGGAUGGCAAGUUCCACUCAGCUCUCCUGCGAAGAUCGCCAACAACCGCAGCUCUUCCUGGGACAACGAGGAUUGCCUGGCGGCGCUCAGGGAGUGGGACUCGUGCUUCCGGCAGGCCAGGAAGCAUUGCUCGUGGAAUGCAGAGCGUGAAAAGGAUGACAACUCCAAAGAAAGCCCUUCCAAGGAGUAAGGCUUGGAACUCACUGCCUAGAUUGAUCAAUCAAGGUCGCUGGAUCGAGGUACCGAAGAAGAAGUGCUCUAACUUUCAAGACUUAGUUAUAUAUACUAGCGCAGGUUUCCUUAUACGUAGCGAAGAGCAGGGAAACGUAGAGCUCUCUAAGUAGAAAACAAAGAAGAAGAGAAGGAAUCCUUCGUUUUUAGUUCUUUGUGGUGUUCCUUUUGUUGGUCCUUUGGAACAAAGCGGCAUUUGGCCA